GUGCCAGCAGCCGCGGUAACACGUAGGCACCAAGCGUUGUCCGGAUUUAUUGGGCGUAAAGAGCUCGUAGGCGGUUCAGUAAGUCAGGUGUGAAAUCUUUGGGCUUAACCCAAAGCGUGCAUUUGAUACUGCUGUGACUUGAGUUCGGUAGGGGAGUGGGGAAUUCCUAGUGUAGCGGUGAAAUGCGCAGAUAUUAGGAGGAACACCGGUGGCGAAGGCGCCACUCUGGGCCGAAACUGACGCUGAGGAGCGAAAGCGUGGGUAGCAAACAGGAUUAGAAACCCGAGUAGUCC
rnacentral:rRNA from 1 species